rnacentral:rRNA from 1 species
GAUGAACGCUGGCGGCGUGCCUAAUACAUGCCAGUCGAGCGAACAGAUGAGGAGCUUGCUCCUCUGACGUUAGCGGCGGACGGGUGAGUAACACGUGGAUAACCUACCUAUAAGACUGGGAUAACUUCGGGAAACCGGAGCUAAUACCGGAUAAUAUAUUGAACCGCAUGGUUCAAUAGUGAAAGACGGUUUUGCUGUCACUUAUAGAUGGAUCCGCGCCGCAUUAGCUAGUUGGUAAGGUAACGGCUUACCAAGGCAACGAUGCGUAGCCGACCUGAGAGGGUGGUCGGCCACACUGGAACUGAGACCAGGGCCAGACUCCUAAGGGAGGGAGCAGUAGGGAAUCUUCCGCAAAGGGGGGAAGCCUGAAGGAGCAAAGCCCGGUGAGGGAAGAAGGUUUUUGGAUCGGAAAACCCUGUUAUUAGGGAAGAACAAAUGUGUAAGUAACUAUGCACGUCUUGACGGUACCUAAUCAGAAAGCCACGGCUAACUACGUG